CGCGUAGGCGGCAUGGCAAGUCAGAUGUGAAAGCCCCAGGCUUAACCUGGGAAUUGCAUCUGAAACUGCUUUGCUUGAGUCCUGGAUGGGAUAGUGGAAUUCCCAGUGUAGCGGUGAAAUGCGUAGAUAUUGGGAGGAACACCUGCGGCGAAGGCGGCUAUCUGGACAGUGACUGACGCUGAGGCGCGAAAGCUAGGGGAGCGAACGGGAUUAGAUACCCCGGUAGUCCUAGCCGUAAACGAUGGGCACUUGGUGUUGGGGGUAUUGAGUCCCUCGGUGCCGGAGUUAACACGUUAAGUGCCCCGCCUGGGGAGUACGGUCGCAAGACUGAA
rnacentral:rRNA from 1 species